GCCAGGUGUGGUGGUGCACACCUGUAGUCCCAGUUACUUGGGAGGCUAAGGCAGGGGGAUCACUUGAGCCCAGGAACUUGAGGCUGCAGUGAGCUAUGACUGCGCCACUGCACUCCAGCCUGGGCAACAGAGUGAGACCCUGUCUCAA
rnacentral:SRP_RNA from 1 species